GGUGGCUUUCGGGCUGUAGCAGAUGGAUGAGCCUGCGUUGGUUUAGCUAGUUGGUGGGGUAAGGGCCCACCAAGGCUACGAUACAUAGCUGAUUUGAGAGGAUGAUCAGCCACAUUGGGACUGAGACACGGCCCAAACUCCUACGUGAGGCAGCAGUGGGGAAUAUUGGACAAUGGGGGCAACCCUGAUCCAGCAAUGCCAUGUGUGUGAAGAAGGCCCUAUGGUUGUAAAGCACUUUAGUUGGGGAGGAAAGCCUCAAGGUUAAUAGCCUUGGGGGAUGACGUUACCAAAAGAAUAAGCACCGGCUAACUCCGUGCCAGCAGCCGCGGUAAUACUGGGGGUGCAAGCGU
rnacentral:rRNA from 1 species